rnacentral:ncRNA from 2 species
ACUGAAUAGGUAUUUAAAAGUGCUCAAGUGAACCUUGGGAUAAUAGGGAAACCGGUGUAAAUCCGGUGCAGCCCCCGCUACUGUAAGCAUUGAUGGACUGUCGAUAUAGCCACUGGCCAAGAGCUGGGAAGGUGACAGAUUCAGGUGAUGUGCGAGCCAGGAGACCUGCUUUUAAAUGAGUCAUACA